rfam:Gossypium raimondii chromosome 3, whole genome shotgun sequence.
CUAACAAAAUAAAACAUUAUAAACUCUUAUGCAAAUAUGUAAGCUACCAGGAUGAAGCUUGGGUGAAACUAAGUGGAAGUUCGAACCGACUAAUGUUGAAGAAUCAGUGGAUGAGUUAUGAUUAAGGGUGAAAUGCAAUUUAAACCCACAGCUAGCUUGUUCUCCUCGAAAUACAUUGAGGCGCAAAAAUUGAUUGGACAUCUAGGGGUAAAACACUAUUUUGGUGCGGACCGUGAGAGUGGUACCAAAUCGAAUGAUGGGGGAUAAGUUUCAUCGCUGAAAGGGAAAUAGCCCAGAUCACCAGCUAAGGCCCCUAAAUGACGGCUUAGUGAUAAAGGUGGUAGGGGUGCAAAGACAACCAGGAGGUUUUCCUAGAAGAAACCACCAUUGAAAGAAUGCAUAAUAACUCACUAAUCGAGUGCUCUUGCACCAAAGAAGAAUGGGGCUAAGUGAUCUACCGAAGCUGUGGGAUGUAAAAAUGCAUCGGUAGGGGAGAACCUUAAGGGGAAGCACCUACGUGAGUGGGAGUAGACAAAGCGGAAGCGAGAAUGUCAG